AGACCCCACUCUUGUCCAGCGGAGAGUCAGACCACCAUGGGGAUGUGCAAUCAAGUAGCAAUAAAGAUUAUGAAAGUCUGGAUUACAAUGAUAAGCUUGUACGCAACCUUCCCUUCGACUUGCUACUACAGGAACAUGAAAGGGACAAGCAUUUCUGGAUCAAGCAGGAGAUUAUGAAAUGGGUGGUCACCUU